GCAAGAAAGACAUGAUAGUGACAAUUGAACGGGAAGAUUUGGUUCGACUUCUGUCAAAUAAUCAGCUUACCACACCACACAUUGAACUAUUUAUGAUGUAUCUUCAUCAUUUGUGCAUUACAUCGGGCAAAGGUGAUAAGUUUGGAUUCCUUUGCCCUCAUCACAUGACAGAGAAAGGGACCAUUGGCAGUUAUUUGUUCUUUCAAUGAAGAGCAACACUGUCGUCUUUUUAUGCUCCCUCCAUUACAAACUUGGGAAAGAAAUGAAGAAGACGAUAGACUUGGCAAUGAGAACAUAUCAAAAUGUAGUCUUACAAAAGCAUGGACAUGAGCUCAAGGAUCCCACAUGGAUUGAGCCAAAGAGUCAUAGACAACCGGUGAGGACGAACUUGUGCGGUCUAUAUGUCAUGAGGCACAUGCUCAAUAUUAUCACAUUAGGCAUGACCGAAUUUACAAAAGAGGU